UUCUCUUGCCGCUCUAUAGUCUAUGGUUCUAGCGUGUGUGUCGUUGGAAAGUUGUUUACAGUUGCCGAGAGCAGGAGAAGAAGCGGUAACUUACUGCCCGUGACGCGAUAUUAUUUUGAUAGCAUCAUGUCAUGAUGUUUCGCAGUUCCAUUGGUAUCAGUACUGACGGGAUAUAUAAAAGUGUUUCGUGCUAGACGUAUUAGGGAAAAAUAUAUUACGAUAAAAACUUCAUAAGCAGCAUGGAAAUCGAGAAAGAAGUGUGGAAAUCAGUGUUGCAAAUUCUCAUGUUUCAGCCUGUAAUGGAACUGAAAAAUGUCACAGAAUUGUUAUCGGAACUGAAUGACAGAAGAACAGUGGCGGUUGAUUUAGACAGUGUUAUUCACCAGAUAAAUCGGCAUGUGAAUCGACACGGACAGCAGUUGACUAAACAGAUCUGUGAAAUUACAGAAAAUGAAUAUCUCAUCUUAUUCAGUACGAGCAACAACGCAGCUAUUCAGACUCUGACAGGUGGUUACACAAAGGAACACAGGGAGGUCUACAAAAGGAUUCUGGCAGAAAUUAUGACUUCAGAGACGUUGGGCUGUGUGUCAUCUACCCAUGUGCUGAAUAUGUCACAAGAUAUGCCUUUUCAUAUAACAAAAGGGCAUCUCCAGGAUAUUGCAGAGAAACUCAUUAAUGAUGGGUGGUUCUGCAAAAAGGAAGGUAAGAUCUACAUAGGCGUUCGCACCAUUGCUGAAAUGGCACCAUACAUUGCAGAAGCAUAUGCAGAUUGUGUUUCGAACUGUCACCUGUGCAAAGACUAUGUUUUUGUGUGUGCCUGGACAUCUUCCACUUUGCAGGAAAAGGGGUUCUGGAAAAUCUCGAUCUCAUUGGAAGAAGCGUCUAAAUACAAGAACCUGGAAGAGAUCUCCUUCAGAUCACCAAGAAAUUACCUUGUGAACAAAAAUGGAGAACUUUAAACAUGUUCACCAUUUGAUGACUGGGAGUUGGCAAAAUGUGAGGAAUGUUUUUGUGUGAUAUUGUGUUCAGAAAGUAUUAGUUUUGAUUAAAAUCUUUAACAUGCUUGUAAAGACCAAAAAUUAUAUUGUCCUCCUCUUGAAGUUUGAUUCAUUUCAUUCAAGAUUGUUUUUCUCAUUCAGAAAUAUUUCAUCUUUGUUCCCAAAGAAAGGAAGCUUUGCAAAAUUUUACCACACAUUAACCAUCUCACUGCCAUGUGAUAUGAGAGAAUACUUGACAAAGAUUCUACCUCUUGAAGGAAAGGCUUGAAUUGAUGGCAGUAGCGAGUCCAUGACAUCGAAUGAAAUUAAAAACCAAAAUUACAACGGUAUUCUUCACACAAGACACACCCACUGAUUUUGCCCAAAGUGCAUCCCGAUCAAUAGUGCAGUGUGUUUUCGAGGGCUUGAUACACCAGUGGCUUCACACUGAAUGUAGUGUGGUGUUCCAAUGAGACCUGUAUAUUUGGCACACAAUCCCCUGCACCCAUCUGUACCCUGCAAGGAAAUAAGAUUUGCUGGUUCUUCAGUAACUUCGAAGUCUGUGUGAAUACCUCAAUUGAGUAACAUCAGAGAUGUCUGUGAUUCAUCCAGGUCUGUUGGGUACCAAGCAAACAUGUCUUUUCUUGUAACUGUUUGGAUAAAUUACAGACAAUUUCUUCAAUUCAACAUGUCACUGUAUUUGCUAAAAGAGUAGCUUUACAUCAUUUGGUUCUGUAAAGAAAACACCUCUCUAGCUGUAAUUAAAAUGCACUGCUAUCGAAAUGUGCAUCAUGCAUUUUUUCAUAGUGGCACUGACUAUUGUAUUCCAUAAGAACAGCAAUAAAUUGAUUACAAACAACACUAAUUAAUUUGUUGGCUUUCUCUAUAACAAAAUAUUUCAUGGCCACGUUGUACUGAAGAAAGGACACUUACAUUCAAUUUCCUCUUUUUAGCUUGAAUGGACAUAUUUCACAUGCAUUCAGAAGAAAGAAAACUUGAAAUUACAAUUGAAUUAAACAAGCCAGGAAGACUCUCACACUAUUUUAAAAGGCUUCAUUCAAGCUUGUACCAGAUGCAACCUUUAGACCGUAUUUUGGAGAUCCCUCGUGUAACACACACAAUAACUCUCAGUAUGACACACUAUUGAACAUAAUAUCAGAUGAGUGUGAAUAGCAUCAUUUAUAUUUAUUUGUAGCACAGUUUUUACCAAAGGGAGCAUACCUAGCAUCACAUGGGUUUAAUAAGAGUGAGUCUUAUACUGAAACUGCAAAAAGUCGAUAACAUAAAAAAAAACCUUCUGUUAAGGUACUAGAUGGGAUAUGUAAAACUGUACAAAGAGAAUAAAAUAGUAGAUUAUAAAAGUGGAAAUUGAGUAGUGAAAACUGAAUUAAUAUCUGAAGCUAUUUUCAAACUGUGAUACUUUGAAAGCACAAGGUCAUAAGUUCUUACUCUGAAAGCAUAAAGAUAAAACUAUAAUUCUUUUUCACUAAAAUACUAAAAGUAAAUGCCUAGAACAAUUGACAUAUAAAUAGUGAAACAGUAAAAUUACAGAAGUGGGAUUAUGUUGAGUACCUAGAGUUGCAUGAAGUGUCAUUAAAUAUUGUCAAUUUUAAAAAGCAGGUAAUGUAUAAAGCAGUAAAAAAUAUAGAACAAUAAAUUAUAAAAGUGAAACUGCAUACAGCAACUAAGCCCUGACAGGGUGUGACAGUUAUGGUUACCUGCAUUUGCUUGGCAGUAUUGUAUGGCGCGCAGUUUUGCAUUACGUACGGAAGUCAGUCUGCACUUGCACACCCGCCUGCUUCUGGGACAGUGUGUGAGCCGUUAAUAAAAUCGUUCGACUGAUUUAAUGUGUUGCCAGACUUUUGCAAAUAGUGUGUAAAAAUCUCGAUUGCUUCCAACAUUGUUAGAAGGUGGUCCCUUAUGUUCAUUGCACUUUCAAGUGCAUAUCAAUAGUUCCAACAGCAUGCUUCGAUGUUAGAAGAUGCUCACCAAACGCUGUUGUAUUACUGUGAACAGAAGUGUGCUCUUUGAUGCAUAUUUCACACACACGUCCUGCCUGUUUGACGUACGUAAAUGUUUCGACAGUUUCUACACUUUAGUUUAUAUACGCCUGCUUCCAUGAAUUUUGAGGCUUUUCUAUUCAUAUGAUACUCUGGCUGAAGAGAGUAAUGUCAUUAGUUUUAAAUCCCAUAUGCAAAUUGGUAUUGUAAAAUUGUCUAGCAAUAACAUCUGUGUGCGCAAUUCACUUUCAGGCCUCUGGUCCUGCGUUAGUACAUUUGUUUUGAGCAUGUAGUGCAAGAGGACUCACUGUUUUCCCCUUUUUUCCUCUCACAAUAAUUCUGUAUUACUUUACAGGUGCUAUUCAGCAAUAUCUAACAACUGGACAAUGUGCCCAUGAACUGCGGCCCUUGGCUGGACAAGACAUACAUCUGAUUGCUGCAGUCCCCGGGUCACCAGCUAGCCACUUACAGCAGCCGACCAGCUUACCUGCAUGAACAGAUGAUCUGGAAAGUCCACUUCCGAGCACACAGUUACAAUGUUUCCCAAAAAGGAGCAGAUUAUACCUGACAGUCUGGCCUGCCCAGUUUUCAAACUGCCACUAGAUGGUUCUUACAGUGGCAAAUGAGUUAUGGAAGUCAACAAUCUGAUACCUGUCCUUUGUAACUCAAGGGCAUAUGUGCUACUUUCUUGUAUUGCUGUUCACCUGUUAGCUUGCUACUAUUGAUCUCACGCUUGCUUAGUGGCAGUUUUAAUAACCUAUUAAUCUUGGAUUGAAAAUAUGCCAUCUUCAUCCUUUCAGGGUGCCAGGACUUAGUGAUAAUGUCUGCACAGGUCAGUUUUCUGUACACGCUAAAACGGUGUUUACCCACCUUGCUUGUAACCGUAAUGUCGAAAUAGUUUAUGGCUUAUUUAUUUUCUCUAAACCUAAUUUUUGGGUGAAUGGCACUCAUUCUCUCCACUAUGUCAUUAAAAUCGCUUUGAUCUCCCUUAACCUACAAAAUAGCAUCAUCAACGUAGCGGUAAUAGCAGACAACUUUACUGGCUGUUGCAGGGUUCUUAGUGAAAAAUUAGUUUUCUAAAUGAUUAAGGUAAAUCUCAGUCAUAAUGCCGAUGAGGGAAUUUCCCAUGGCUGGCCCUCCCGGGUUUGUGGAAUAUAUUACCUUUAAACCUAAAAUAGGAAAACAUCAGUUCUCGAAGCUCCAUUAAUUUACGGUUGUUCUUAAUUAUUUCUAAUGGCUUGCAAACAGGCAUGUUAAUAUACAAAUUCACCAUAUCUAGGGAUAAAAAGAUGGAAACAGGUGGUAUGACUUUGUCCGCAAACUAUACUGCUCAUGAAAGUGUAUAGCAUUUUCAAUCUUUGUACUAGCACUGCAUUUAUCAGGGCAUGAGGACUUUUUACUUUUUUUAUUAUGAAACUUAACCUGCACAUGUGCGUCUGGCAUUCAUGGGCUUAUGAUUAUACAUCGCUUUUUGCCCAUCAGAAAACAGAAAAUUUGAUUUUCGAACUUUGCCCAUUAGUUAUGCCUGGAACUUUUUUGUAGGAUCUCUACCCACUUCAUUAAUCCCGUUUUGAGAAAAGGUUAUGCUAACGAAAUGGAAAGAAAUUUUUCUGUAUAAAUGGGAUUACCUAAAUGACCAGAGGGGUUCAUAAAAUUAACAGACAAAAACAGCAUAAAAUCAAUGGCACCACGCUAACAGGUGAACAGGAAGACAAGGAAGUAGUGUACAUGGCUGUGAAUUAUAAAGGACAGGUUUCAGAUGUUACUGCUGGAGAAUUUCGUAAUACCAAUUUGCAUAUAGGGUUUGAAACUAAUGACAUUAUUCACUUCACCCUGAGGUAGCAUGUGAAUAGAAAAAGCCUCAAAAUUCACAGCAGCAGGUGUAUGUAAACUAAAAUGUGGAAUCUCUAAAAAAUCUUACACAGGUCAAACAGGCAGUACGUUUGAAAUAUGGAUCAAAGAGCACACUUCAAUUCAUUGUAAUAAAACAGCAUUUGCUGAGCAUCUUCUAACAUGGAAGCAUGCCAUUGGAACUACCAAUAAGCACUUGAAAGUGCUGCACAAUGAACCUAAGGGAUCAACUUCUAACAAUGUCGGAAAGAAUUGAGAUUUUUUCACCCCAUCUACAAGAGCCUGGCAACACAUUAAAUCAGUUGAAUGAUUUUAUUAACGGCUCACACACCAUCCCCCUAGCAGUAGGUGGGUGUACAAGUGCUGACUGGCUUCCGUACAUACUGCAACAGUGUCCGCCAUACAGUGUCACCAAGCAGAAGGAAAUGCAGUUUUACGCCUUGUACUGGUUGUCCUGUGGAGAACAACAUUUUUCCAUACGGAAUUACAGUGCAAUGAUUUCAUGAUUCUUGAAAAAAAAAAAAAGGUUAUCAUUCAACUUAAUUGUAUUUAAGAAUGACAUUGAUUUAUUAUUAUGUACAUUAUCCUUCGUUCCAUGUUUAAAAUGUUAAUGACUGUGAAACAGCCAAGUAAUUUGAUGUAAUUACUUUCUGUGGUGGUCAUGUUUUUUGAUGAGGAUAGAUGUGAGAGACAUUGUUAAGUGUACUUAUGUUGCAUUUUGGUAAAAUAUACGUAUUUAUUUACUCUUGAAA